GUCGUUAUUAUUUUGUUGAAUAGCUUUUGCUAAAGAUAUGUUCCAUACUAGUAGCCUUUAUUCUGUAUCCACGUUUGGCACGAACAGUCAGGAUGAUCCCGCCCGAGGGUGAGUCCGCGGGAAGAGGAACAGGAAACCCUGUCCUUCAUCAGAGAGAACAUGGAGAAGAGUGAUCAGCUGAUUUAAAGGAAUGGCGUCCAUUUUGUCAUCGUUUGAGAGUCGUCUGAUGUAGCUGGAGAACUCCAUCAUCCCAGUACACAAGCAGACAGAGAACCUACAGAGGCUUCAGGAGAACGUGGAUAAGACCCUGUCCUGCCUGGACCAUGUCAUCAGUUACUACCAUAUAGCCAAGGACACCGACAGGAUCAUCAGAGAGGGAAUGACCCUGACAAGGAGCACAACAUGCCCAAGGAUGGAACGGUCCAUGAGCUCACCAGCAACCAGCUGCUGGACAUCCUGGAGACUGUUGGAGCCAUGCUGACCUCUCAAGAACAUCCUCAAUCCCCC